rnacentral:lncRNA from 1 species
AUACCACAAUGACCUUCACCCCAUAGUGUCUAGUAUAGAGCUAUGUUACAUUGAAUGGCAAAAGUGACUUUGUAGACAGACAGUUGGCUUAGCAACUCUGAGUGGUGGGCUCAACAGAAGAACAAGCUGAUAGAAGUCCUUGGGCUCUGAGGCUCCAUUCUAAUCAAAGUACUUCUCCAACCAAAGGACUUCCAUUGAUCAAUAGUCACUCAGAUGUUCUGUGUUUGCCAUGAGUAUCGGACUUCAGUCUUCUGGAAAGAUGGCUGUGGUGCCUAAACACAUCUGUGCCUGGCCUCACCCGCGGGUUAGUAAAGGUUUGGGGGUUGCAUGUGUUCUUCUACUUGGGACGAGGCCUAUCUAAGAGGCCUCUAUCUCCUCUCAAACAUCUUUUUUAUGUCUGUGCUAUGUAACAUUUCUGAUAAGUGUCUGUGACUCCUUUGCCUCACAGCUAUUCACUUUCUCUCUUUAUAAAGAGGAGCCCUAAUUAUAUUGUUUGGCUUUCUUUACACU